rnacentral:rRNA from 1 species
UACGUAGGGGGCGAGCGUUGUCCGGAGUUACUGGGCGUAAAGGGCAUGCAGGCGGUCAGGCGCGUUUCGGGUGACAGCGGGUGGCUUAACUACCCGAGUGUUCGAAAGACGGCGUGACUUGAGAGCGAGAGAGGGACACGGAAUUCCGGGUGGAGUGGUGAAAUGCGUAGAGAUCCGGAGGAACACCGAAGGCGAAGGCAGUGUCCUGGCUCGCGACUGACGCUGAGGUGCGAAAGCUAGGGGAGCGAACGGG